rnacentral:lncRNA from 1 species
GCCCGUGUGCUAGGCCGUGUGAGCAUUCUAUUUGUGAAAAUUUAAGACACAGAGGACAUACGGCCGUGUCACCUGGCUGUGUGUCACACACGGUUGAGACACAUGCCCGUGUGGAUGAAAAUAAGCCAUUUUACAAGCCAUAUUUCUCACCCAAUUUUGUGUCUAUCUACAAUCAACAUUACACAUAUCAACAAGGCAUAAUUAGACGUUCAAAACAAGCCAAAAUAAGUCGCUAAACUCAACACAUUACAUAUAAGGCAUCAUUAGACAAAAUACCUAUACAUGCCAUUAUAACCAAAAUCAAAAUAUUCGAAAAUACCGAUAAAACCGAUGGAUAGUGUGAUAUAUCUACCACAAGCUUCCAACCUAAUCGAGCUUCCGGUAAUCUGAAAAGUAGAAGAAAACAAAUACAUAAGCAAUGAAUGCUUAGUAAGCUCAUAUAAACUUUAAUCAUAAUACUUCCUUUUCAAAUAUGAAAUUUAUACUUAUCAAGAAUAAUCUAAUAUUGCUACCACAAUACUCAUGAAGUUAUAUUUAACAACUCACUAAGUGAAUAAAGCUACAGUAUCACUUAUACAUAAUAUUCCUAGCAUAGUAGGAUUUUAAACAACUUUAACUCUUCCAAAAUUUCUUUAUUUUCAUUUGCGUUUCUUUACUUUCCACACUCAUUGCAUAUGCAUAACACACAAGUCAUAAGCACAUCAUUCAACCAUAGAUACAGGCUAGUACAUUUAAACAUAGUCCUUUUUUGAAUUAAUCACACGAUAACUCAUUUUAUAAGAAAUUGCAUAACUUAAAAUUUACUACUCUUUCAUGAACACAAGUAUAUUUUCACUUGAGCACUUACCCUUUCAACGCAUCAUAUAAUAAACAUAUUACCAUUUAACCAGUAACUUGGCACUUGUCUAAGCGUCAACAACAGCACUUGUUAGCAUACUUGAACAUAUUUCAUAUUUCAUAACCAGAAGGGUUCCGGAC